AUACGUAGGUGACAAGCGUUAUCCGGAUUUACUGGGCGUAAAGGGCGUGUAGGCGGUCUUGCAAGUCAGAAGUGAAAUUCCUGAGCUCAACUCGGGCGCUGCUUCUGAAACUGCAGGACUUGAGUGCUGGAGGGGAUAGCGGAAUUCCUAGUGGAGCGGUAAAAUGCGCAGAUGUUAGGAAGAACACCGGUGGCGAAGGCGGCUAUCUGGACAGUAACUGACGCUGAGGCGCGAAAGCGUGGGGAGCAAACAGGAUUAGAUACCCUGGUAGUCCACGCCGUAAACGAUGGGCGCUCGUCGUCGGCGGCAGACAGUCGGCGGCCAAGCGAAAGCGAUAAGCGCCCCACCUGGGGAGUACGGUCGCAAGAUUGAAACUCAAAGGAAUUGACGGGG
rnacentral:rRNA from 1 species